rnacentral:lncRNA from 1 species
GGGGAUGGGCUUAAGCCCAUAAGGGAGUCACCUAGGGAGGUAACCCAACUUCUGUGAUUGGCGAUCCCAUGAAGGAAGUUCAAUGGGUAGAAACAAUCCAUACUGCGUGACUCAUUGAGCACUGUUUAUAUCAUGUGGAGGCAUCCCAGAGAUGUCCUCAUGCUCAUCCCUAUGACAUCAGUGCUAUAUAAUGUGACGUUAGGAAGGGAGUUAUCCAUGAAUGAGUUUCGAGGCGGGCAAUCUCCCGCAGGGUGCAGGUCACAUGUACUCUUGGAGAACUCACCUAAGUGAGAGACGUCG